rnacentral:rRNA from 1 species
GAUGCACCAGUGGGGAAUAUUGGACAAUGGGCGCAAGCCUGAUCCAGCCAUGCCGCGUGUGUGAAGAAGGCCUUCGGGUUGUAAAGCACUUUCAGCGGGGAGGAAGGGCAGUAGGUUAAUACCCUGCUGUUUUGACGUUACCCACAGAAUAAGCACCGGCUAACUCCGUGCCAGCAGCCGCGGUAAUACGGAGGGUGCAAGCGUUAAUCGGAAUUACUGGGCGUAAAGCGCGCGUAGGUGGUUYGUUAAGUCGGAUGUGAAAUCCCCGGGCUCAACCUGGGAACUGCAUUCGAAACUGGCMAGCUAGAGUCUGGUAGAGGGGGGUAGAAUUCCAGGUGUAGCGGUGAAAUGCGUAGAGAUCUGGAGGAACACCGGUGGCGAAGGCGGCCCCCUGGACAAAGACUGA